rnacentral:lncRNA from 1 species
CCCCCAACCAGCUUAUUACUAGUCCCUAGUAAUCUAAAGCGUUAAAAUAGAGAAACAAUUUGCAAGUUCCACAAAGCAAGGCAUUCAUCAUUCAACUUCCAUUAAUCUAUCCAGAUAAACAAACUCUCAUUAAAUUUAUAUUCCUGCUUCAUACUUCUUAAACAAGAUAUUAAUAAACCUUCUUUUUGUGUGCUCAAUGAAAACAUAGAUGAUGGGGCUUUUGUUGGAAGAAAACAAUAUUAUGUUCAAAUGUUUAAGGUGAACUUCCUU